rnacentral:rRNA from 1 species
UAACACGUGGGUAACCUGCCCAUAAGACUGGGAUAACUCCGGGAAACCGGGGCUAAUACCGGAUAACAUUUUGAACCGCAUGGUUCGAAAUUGAAAGGCGGCUUCGGCUGUCACUUAUGGAUGGACCCGCGUCGCAUUAGCUAGUUGGUGAGGUAACGGCUCACCAAGGCAACGAUGCGUAGCCGACCUGAGAGGGUGAUCGGCCACACUGGGACUGAGACACGGCCCAGACUCCUACGGGAGGCAGCAGUAGGGAAUCUUCCGCAAUGGA